UGCCUAACACAUUGCAAGUCGAGUGCUGAAGUCCCCGCACGGGGAUUGUAGGCACGGCAGACGGGUGCGUAACACGUGGGUAACCUUUCGUUGAGACGGGAAUAACCCGGGGAAACUCGGGAUAAUGCCCGAUACGUACUGAGGCGCAAGCCGAGGAUAUGAAUCGCCGCCCGCAAGGGUGGCGCUCGAUGAGGGGCCCGCGGCCCAUCAGGUAGUUGGUGAGGUAACGGCCCACCAAGCCUACGACGGGUAGCUGGCGUGAGAGCGCGACCAGCCACACUGGAACUGAGACACGGUCCAGACUCCUACGGGAGGCAGCAGUGGGGAAUCUUGGGCAAUGGACGAAAGUCUGACCCAGCGACGCCGUGUGAGGGACGAAGGCCUUCGGGUCGUAAACCUC
rnacentral:rRNA from 1 species